AUAUUGGUGGUUCAGUGGUAGAAUUCUUGUCUUCCAUGCAGGAGACCUUGUGUCAAUACUUGGCCAAUGUA
rnacentral:tRNA from 1 species